UUGCUUUAGCAGCACUUAUAUUAAAAUUAGAACAAUACAGAAAGAUUAGGAUGGUCCCUGUGCAAGGAUGACUUGCAGAUUUGUAAAGUGUUCCAUAUUUUU